rnacentral:rRNA from 1 species
AUUGAACGCUGGCGGCAGGCCUAACACAUGCAAGUCGAGCGCGAAAAUUCCUUCGGGGAUGAGUAGAGCGGCGGACGGGUGAGUAAUGCGCAGAAAUCUGCCCAGUAGUGGGGGACAACCUGGUGAAAACCAGGCUAAUACCGCAUACGCCUACGGGGAAAGGACAGGGAGUCUUCGGACCUUGCGCUAUUGGAUGAGUCUGCGUCGGAUUAGCUUGUUGGUGAGGUAAUGGCUCACCAAGGCGACGAUCCGUAGCUGGUCUGAGAGGAUGAUCAGCCACACUGGGACUGAGACACGGCCCAGACUCCUACGGGAGGCAGCAGUGGGGAAUAUUGGACAAUGGGCGAAAGCCUGAUCCAGCCAUGCCGCGUGUGUGAAGAAGGCUCUAGGGUUGUAAAGCACUUUCAGUGGGGAAGAAAGCUUGUUAGCUAAUAACUGAUGAGUGUGACCAUUACCCACAGAAGAAGCACCGG